GGAUGUGAGGGCGAUCUGGCUGCGACAUCUGUCACCCCAUUGAUCGCCAGGGUUGAUUCGGCUGAUCUGGCUGGCUAGGCGGGUGUCCCCUUCCUCCCUCACUGCUCCAUGUGCGUCCCUCCCGAAGCUGCGCGCUCGGUCGAAGAGGACGACCAUCCCCGCUAGAGGAGGACCGGUCUUCGGUCAAGGGUAUACGAGUAGCUGCGCUCCCCUGCUAGAACCUCCAAACAAGCUCUCAAAUUGCUAAAUGUGGGAAGUACAAAGAUUAUAUCCUAAGGCUUUAUGAUUUUCCUCAUUUUUAUAGUAAUAAGGCCAAAAGUAA
rnacentral:snRNA from 1 species